CGUGCAGUGGUGGGGUCCCUCAGCCUGGCCUGCACCCUCUCACUAUCCAGCACCCCUUGGGGAAUGUCGGAAAGUUGAUUUCGGCCCAAUCACGCAGGCCAGGCCGAGGGACCCCACUGGUGCACG
rnacentral:pre_miRNA from 1 species